rnacentral:pre_miRNA from 11 species
AUCCUGGAUCUAUGUAGGCAGUUGUGCUCCUGUAAACAUCCUUGACUGGAAGCUGUGCAAGGCUCAAAGGGGCUUUCAGUCGGAUGUUUACAGCGGCAGGCUGCUGCGUUCCUCCUGAAACCAC